rnacentral:rRNA from 1 species
CUAUACAUGCCAGUCGAGCGGACAGAAGGGAGCUUGCUCCCGGAUGUUAGCGGCGGACGGGUGAGUAACACGUGGGUAACCUGCCUGUAAGACUGGGAUAACUCCGGGAAACCGGAGCUAAUACCGGAUAGUUCCUUGAACCGCAUGGUUCAAGGAUGAAAGACGGUUUCGGCUGUCACUUACAGAUGGACCCGCGGCGCAUUAGCUAGUUGGUGAGGUAACGGCUCACCAAGGCGACGAUGCGUAGCCGACCUGAGAGGGUGAUCGGCCACACUGGGACUGAGACACGGCCCAGACUCCUACGGGAGGCAGCAGUAGGGAAUCUUCCGCAAUGGACGAAAGUCUGACGGAGCAACGCCGCGUGAGUGAUGAAGGUUUUCGGAUCGUAAAGCUCUGUUGUUAGGGAAGAACAAGUGCAAGAGUAACUGCUUGCACCUUGACGGUACCUAACCAGAAAGCCACGGCUAACUACGUGCCAGCAGCCGCGGUAAUACGUAGGUGGCAAGCGUUGUCCGGAAUUAUUGGGCGUAAAGGGCUCGCAGGCGGUUUCUUAAGUCUGAUGUGAAAGCCCCCGGCUCAACCGGGGAGGGUCAUUGGAAACUGGGAAACUUGAGUGCAGAAGAGGAGAGUGGAAUUCCACGUGUAGCGGUGAAAUGCGUAGAGAUGUGGAGGAACACCAGUGGCGAAGGCGACUCUCUGGUCUGUAACUGACGCUGAGGAGCGAAAGCGUGGGGAGCGAACAGGAUUAGAUACUUUGGUUAAUUC